GUGAAGGAGAAUGAAUUGAAAUUUAUAUAUUGGUUUGAUUCCUCUCACCUUUUAUUAUAUGUCUAUUAACUAUUUAAAUGAAAUUCGAGUAUUCUCACAACAAAAACAAGCGCAAAAUUUUCAAGGAGGUCAAAGACGAGGUUUAUAUAUAGAAUAGCAUGUACGAAUGUUGAUUGAGUAUACAAAAUUGGAUGGCAUUCCAAUUGCCAAAGGUUUAUAUAUAUAUCGCAAGCUAACAUCAUUAUUAAGAUGUACAUACUCAACCACUAGAUUAAUUAUAUGAAUACUAAAUGGUGCAAGUGUAAGACAAACCAAAGCUUUAAUUGUUGGUGGCCAUGGUUUGCUUCAUUUGUAAGGAAGAUGAUGAUGGUCUUGUGGACUUAUAUGUAACACAAGUGGGCUAAGUAAUAUUAUUUAUCAAGUGCUAGUAGAGGUGUGAUU
rnacentral:lncRNA from 1 species